rnacentral:rRNA from 1 species
GAUGAACGCUGGCGGCGUGCCUAACACAUGCAAGUCGAGCGGUAACAGGGAUAGUUUACUAUCUGCUGACGAGCGGCGAACGGCUGAGUAACGCGUGGGAAUGUACCCCAAAGUGAGGGAUAACUGCCUGAAAAGGUAGCUAAUACCGCAUAUGGUCUUCGGAUUAAAGUAUUUAUACGCUUUGGGAACAGCCCGCGUCCGAUUAGGUUGUUGGUGAGGGAAUGGCUCACCAAGCCGACAAUCGGUAGCUGGUCUGAGAGGAUGAUCAGCCAGACUGGAACUGAGACACGGUCCAGACUCCUACGGGAGGCAGCAGUGAGGAAUCUUCCACAAUGGGGGAAACCCUGAUGGAGCAACGCCGCGUGCAGGAUGAAGGCCUUCGGGUUGUAAACUGCUUUUAUGAGUGAAGAAUAUGACAGUAACUCAUGAAUAAGGAUCGGCUAACUACGUGCCAGCAGCCGCGGUAA